GAUGAACGCUGGCGGCGUGCUUAACACAUGCAAGUCGAACGAAGCACUGCGAACGGAUUUCUUCGGAUUGAAGUAUGCAGUGACUGAGUGGCGGACGGGUGAGUAACGCGUGGGUAACCUGCCUUAUACUGGGGGAUAACAGUUAGAAAUGACUGCUAAUACCGCAUAAGCGCACAGGGCCGCAUGGUCUGGUGUGAAAAACUCCGGUGGUAUAAGAUGGACCCGCGUCUGAUUAGCUAGUUGGUAAGGUAAUGGCUUACCAAGGCGACGAUCAGUAGCCGACCUGAGAGGGUGACCGGCCACAUUGGGACUGAGACACGGCCCAAACUCCUACGGGAGGCAGCAGUGGGGAAUAUUGCACAAUGGGGGAAACCCUGAUGCAGCGACGCCGCGUGAAGGAAGAAGUAUUUCGGUAUGUAAACUUCUAUCAGCAGGGAAGAAAAUGACGGUACCUGACUAAGAAGCCCCGGCUAAUUACGUGCCAGCCGCCGCAGUAAGAC
rnacentral:rRNA from 1 species